GCGUAGCGCAGUGUGGUGUGGGGUGGCAGAGCCCUACAGAGUACGAUGACGACUAAAAGCGGAGACCGUGAAGACACGAACAGGCCUGCUGGAACCGAGAUUUUACUGGAGCUCCACCUUUGACUUUCCAUAUGGCUGACCUUUAGUCUCCAGCUCAUCGGAGACAGAGUGGAUACCCCAUCAUGAAUCACAUCAUUAAACACCCAGAGGCAAAGGCUUCCAGCUAAAUAAAGACAUUUUUAACAGGGAGGACAUUCUAAGGAAUGAAGAUUACCUCUUAUUGCCUAGUCAGCUGAGGGCAGAGGCGAGAACUAUCAUUGGAAAGGAAUGUAUCACACUUGGAGCAGAGUUCUGUGAACAAAGACGAAGCAAAAAGAAAUUGCUGAAUACUAACUCAUCUUCUAUCCAAUUAAAUCCCAGAUAAUAUGGCUACAGCUAAAGCUAUCCCUCUAUAUCAUGAAGUGAAUUGGGAAUGGAAACAACCAGAAACAAUGCAGCAAACUAGCAGGACCUGGAGCUCCAAUUUUGUGGAGUACCUUCCUGGACAUGGACCACAUAUCUAAGCAUUUAUAUAAUGAAGAAUUGGCAUUUCAUAUUUUUGCCCCAUUUUUAUUUUGGGUUUCCUAUACCUUAAAUCCAAAGCUAAUCUCAACUAAUACUGAUACUUAUUCAAAUUGCUGUAUUUGUUGUAGUUUGUUUGUAACUGCUUUAUUUCAGUUUCUUAUGCAA